UACGAAGGGGGCUAGCGUUGCUCGGAAUCACUGGGCGUAAAGGGUGCGUAGGCGGGUCUUUAAGUCAGGGGUGAAAUCCUGGAGCUCAACUCCAGAACUGCCUUUGAUACUGAAGAUCUUGAGUUCGGAAGAGGUGAGUGGAACUGCGAGUGUAGAGGUGAAAUUCGUAGAUAUUCGCAAGAACACCAGUGGCGAAGGCGGCUCACUGGCCCGAUACUGACGCUGAGGCACGAAAGCGUGGGGAGCAAACGGG
rnacentral:rRNA from 1 species